rnacentral:rRNA from 1 species
GAUGAACGCUGGCGGCGUGCAUAACACAUGCAAGUCGAACGAAGUGGCGAACGGUUGAGUAACCCGUGAGUAACCUGCCUUACACAAGGGGAUAGCCUUUGUAAACGAAGAAUAAUACCCUAUGGUGUAAUAUGGUCUUGCGUCUGAUUAGCUAGUUGGUGAGAUAAAGGCCCACCAAGGCAACGAUCAGUAGCCGGCUUGAGAGAGUGUACGGGAACCUUGGGAGAGGGACAAGGCGCAAACUCGACGGAAGGGAGCAGUGGGGAAUUUUGCACGAUGGGGGAAUGCCUAAUGCCGCGAGGCCGCAAGAUUUAGAAGGCCUGGGGGUUGGAAAAAUGUUUUUUAAGGGAUGCGGUACCAUAAGAAUAAGGUCCGGCUAAAUCCGUGCCAGCAGCCGCGGUAAUAC